AUGGCGAGAAGCGCCUCUCAAUCAUCUCAAUCCGCAUCCUCCGCUGCCACGACACGACCGGGUGUCAUGGCUCCUCGCGGCUCUGCUGCCGCCACAGCCGGAAUGCGCCGUCGCCGUCUCGGUGGUGGCAACACCACAAGCACCAGCUCUGCCGCGGGAGGAUCCAGCGGCGGAAACAACAUGCUGCGAUUCUACACCGACGACGCUCCUGGAUUGAAGAUAUCUCCAACGGUUGUUCUUGUCAUGAGUCUCUGUUUCAUUGGCUUCGUCACCGCUCUUCAUGUUUUUGGUAAACUUUACCGUUACCGAUCCGCCGCUGGCGCCGCCGCUUGA